UAACGUCGCAAGACCAAAGAGGGGGACCUUCGGGCCUCUUGCCAUCGGAUGUGCCCAGAUGGGAUUAGCU
rnacentral:rRNA from 1 species